UUCUCCCCGAGUCAAAGCCUCUGGAGGACUCUAGUCAAUGGGGAAUAAUGCAGCCACCGGAAAAAUGAAAAUAAAAAACCUUUGUCCUUGAGCCCAGGUCCAACUUGUAAAGUUGGGGAGUAAGAAAUUUAGCUCUUGGAGCAACCUUUAUUAUUCCUAAAGCACUAUUUUUUUUAAAAAAAAAUCCAACCAUCCAAAGGCAAGCUACCCGUCUAAUCAUCCCAGAAGGUUUACGGUUGCUUCAACACUCCACUUUUUUCCUCUCCCUCAUCACAGGUUUUAAAUUUUGACCUCAGAUUUUCAUGUGCUGCCUUUUCUCACACAGUCAAACCUCACGCCUACAUCCGUCCCUCAUCUCAUUUCCUCUUGAAGGCAAACAGUGAAAUAUGAUGAGACGUGUCACUUUGUUAUAAACAAUUACACACAGAAAAGUGAAGACAGAACAAGUGCAGCCUAACAAAUCAUCAUAAACCCAAGCUGUGUAAUCACUACCCAGGUCAUUGACAUCACCCCAGGGCCCCCCAUCCCCCAUUCCCUUCAUCAGCUCUUCCCUUCCCCCUAGAGCAACAGCUGUCCUGACUUUAUGCCCGUUAAUAUGGUGGAUUACAUUAAUCUUUGAAAAUUGAACCAGACUUCAAUCCCUGGAAUAAAGCCCACGUGGUCAUGUUCUUCAGCUGGAGAACGGACCCACUGGGACUUAGGCUGCGCACAUUCAAGAACAUGACACCUUCCUCAAUCAGCCCCUCCCCCCAGCCCCAGGGGUGUGCUCAGCCAUCAGAACAACCAUUCGUCUGGACUCAUCUACCAAACUACGUCUUCUGGCAUCAACUCAUUAAACUACACAAGAUGGAGUUGCAGUCUUUUCCUGUGGGAAAUUUCCCGCGGGCACUGAGCUAGGAGAAAGCAGAUACAGGAAUUUAAGCUGUGUGACCAUAGGCAAGUCAGUUUUCUUAGGCUUCAAAUUUCCGUAUGUAAGGUCCCUUCUAGAUCAAAAUUCUGUAAUUCUAACUCUCUAGGUUAGGCACAGUCUGACUGGAGGCAGAAGUCUCUCGUUAUCUCCAUGCCUUGAAAUGGGCAACUGGCAUCUCGAAUGUGUGAGAAUUAGAGGGAAAAGGGGUGGCUGACGGCAGCUGGAAUGGCUCCUCUUUGGAUACCCCACGGUGUGUUUUCGGAUGGGAGAGGGGUAUUGGCCACAAGCCACUGGAGCUAAAACCUGAGUGGCAAUUAGUAAAGUCACUCCCUCUUCCAUCCCUAAGGAGUUUAUAAGCAGGAUUUUCCUAUAUGUUCUCACUCCCAGUCCCUCUCACGCACCUCAGGGCCCCUUUCCCAGUUAACAUUUCUUGAGGACCUCUAUUAUUUCCAAUAGGCCGUUAAUGCCAAAAACGUGCGGAGGGAGGGCUGUUCUUAGUAGACCGCAGCCCAUCUUUUGACAAUAAAAGAUAAUUAACAAUAAAACCACACAGCAUCUACCUAUCUUUUGAACAUGACCUAUUGCUGUUCCUGACCAUAUAGAGAAAUUUAUUUGUUCAUUUUCAAAUUAUCCAUUAAAUUUGUUUGAUGCUUUGGGCUAUUUUAGUUAACUACCUAACAAAGCCCACCUUGUGGGUGAAGGUAGGUGAACAGAUUGGUUAGGAUAUUAAUUACUAAAUAGGCUUCUUUCAAAGUGUGUUGACACUCAUCAGUUUGGGAUGGCUUUGUCUAAGUGAUUCUGUAUCUGGCCAUUUGCAAAUGGAGAGGAUUCUGAAAGAGCCUUAGCACAGUGAUUUUAUAAUCCCGACCUAACUGGCAAAGUGUAAAAUCAGUCACUGUCAGGUUACCCAAUGUUGGCAGAGUUCCUCCGGGUAGUUGAGUCUGUUAUAGAGAGGGUUACAGUUUGACCUAAAUAUGUAAAUCUUGCUUCUACCAGAUUCACCCUGCCCCAAACCCAAUGAUUGCCUAUCUGGAGAAGUGAAAUAUAUCACUCAAACUUGGUUUCUUCUUUAAGGGAAGAAUUCUAAGAAGCAUCAUUCCAAAAUGAAUUUUCUUCUUUAGAAACAAAUUGUAGAUAAUUACCUAAACCUAUAUGAAAAACAGAGCUUUUCCAAUUCUUAGCGCAGUUGCGUAUGAUAUAUCUUUGACUGUCAUAUGAUAUUCAACUGUUCACUGACCUUCCAUAUAACUCUUCAAUUGUCUUCUCCAACAAAGACGUCUGACGUAAAAUCACAAAAACUCAAAUGGGAACCUGUUCUUUCUGUUGGGUCAACUAUCAGUGAUGUUUCCUGAUAAAAAACUUUUUAAUAUAAUGUCAUUCUUAUAAAUAUAUGAGAAUUAAAGGUGAAUCUGGAUUUUUAAAUUUUAGUGCGUUAAACAUGUUUUCUUUAAGGUUUUUAAAUAGAAAAAAUAUCAGUAUUUAGAGACUUUGGGUUUAACUUUGUUUCAUGGUUACUUAAUUCUCAGAAAACUUUAGCCAGUAAUACUCUAAAUUUAAAUGCACUUUUAUAUUUACUCUCAUCUCACUCUCUUCCACAGUGGACAUUUUGCUGAUUAAGUAGUUGAGAAGGAAAGAGGAGAAAUUCCUUGUUGUGGAAAGAGAGAAUGGAACUAGGGGUCAGCUCUGCCCUUUACUGCCAAACAGGAGGCCUUGGAGGAGCGGGUGGUGAGGCGAGAACCUCGUCAAAGGCAGCCUGCUGGCAAGUCACACUCCUCCUCCGAUUUCACUUCUAAGAAAUGCUUCUGUAUUGGAUUUUUUAAAUUUGGGGAUAAGUCUGGUAUUUUGCCACAAAGAAAUUAGAAUCACUCUCAUUCUUUAAUUUCAUCUGUCAGUCUUUUCUCUUGAUGAUGUCAUAUAAUAUUUCACACAAUUUGACGUCAGAGAAAUCAUGUUAAGUAAAUGCUUACACAAUACCACUGUUGAACUACUGUUCCAUUCAGGCUCCUGGGAAGUGUGAGGACUACACAGAUGGCUAAGUUUCAACAAUCGGUCUCUAUCAUUUUGUUAUUAGUCUUCAAGAAAUUGCCUAUACUGAAAG